GUCCACCCCGUAAACGUUGGGAACUAGUUGUGGGGUCCAUUCCACGGAUUCCGUGACGCAGCUAACGCAUUAAGUUCCCCGCCUGGGGAGUACGGCCGCAAGGCUAAAACUCAAAGGAAUUGACGGGGACCCGCACAAGCGGCGGAGCAUGCGGAUUAAUUCGAUGCAACGCGAAGAACCUUACCAAGGCUUGACAUACACCAGAACGGGCCAGAAAUGGUCAACUCUUUGGACACUGGUGAACAGGUGGUGCAUGGUUGUCGU
rnacentral:rRNA from 1 species